rnacentral:rRNA from 1 species
UACGUAGGGGGCAAGCGUUGUCCGGAUUUAUUGGGCUGUAAAGAGCGUGUAGGCGGCCAUACAGGUCAGCUGUGAAAACUCGAGGCUCAACCUCGACGAUACGUCGGUUGAAACCGUAUGGCUAGAGUCCGGAAGAGGAGAGUGGAAUUCCCGGUGUAGCGGUGAAAUGCGCAGAUAUCGGGAAGAACACCCGUGGCGAAGGCGGCUCUCUGGGACGGUACUGACGCGUGAGACGGCGAAAAGCGUGGGGAGCGAACCAGG